rnacentral:piRNA from 1 species
UACAUGUUAGUUUUCUAGAAGUGCCGAAUU